rnacentral:rRNA from 1 species
UACAGAGGUGGCAAGCGUUGUUCGGAAUUACUGGGCGUAAAGGGCGCGUAGGCGGCCUUCUAAGUCAGACGUGAAAUCCCCCGGCUUAACCUGGGAACUGCGUCUGAUACUGGGAGGCUUGAGUAUGGGAGAGGGAUGUAGAAUUCCAGGUGUAGCGGUGAAAUGCGUAGAUAUCUGGAGGAAUACCGGUGGCGAAGGCGGCAUCCUGGACCAUAACUGACGCUGAGGCGCGAAAGCUAGGGGAUCAAACGGG